CGUAGGGGGCAAGCGUUGUCCGGAUUUAUUGGGCGUAAAGCGCGCGUAGGCGGCAAGGUAUGUCGUGCGUGAAAUCUCCCGGCUUAACUGGGAGGGGCCGUGCGAAACUGCCUGGCUUGAGGUCGGAAGGGGAAAGUGGAAUUCCGGGUGUAGUGGUGGAAUACGUAGAUAUCCUGAGGAACACCAGCGGCGAAGGCGGCUUUCUGGUCCGAUUCUGACGCUGAGGCGCGAAAGCGUGGGGAGCGAUCCGGAUUAGAUACCCGGGUAGUCCACGCCGUAAACGAUGAGUACUAGGUGUCGGGGGUAUCGACCCCCUCGGUGCCGUCGCUAACGCAUUAAGUACUCCGCCUGGGGACUACGGCCGCAAGGCUA
rnacentral:rRNA from 1 species